GGUCGAUGAUGUUUUGGCAUGUAUUAUCUGACUUACAGCUGAUGUGUAUAACACUUUAGCUCUAGAAUUACGCUGAGACCUU
ensembl:snoRNA